AUUGAACGCUGGCGGAAUGCUUUACACAUGCAAGUCGAACGGCAGCACGGACUUCGGUCUGGUGGCGAGUGGCGAACGGGUGAGUAAUGUAUCGGAACGUGCCCAGUCGUGGGGGAUAACGUAGUGAAAAUUACGCUAAUACCGCAUACGAUCUAUGGAUGAAAGCGGGGGAUCGCAAGACCUCGCGCGAUUGGAGCGGCCGAUAUCAGAUUAGGUAGUUGGUGGGGUAAAGGCCCACCAAGCCAACGAUCUGUAGCUGGUCUGAGAGGACGACCAGCCACACUGGAACUGGGACACGGUCCAGACUCCUACGGGAGGCAGCAGUGGGGAAUUUUGGACAAUGGGCGAAAGCCUGAUCCAGUCAUUCCGCGUGCAGGAUGAAGGCCCUCGGGUUGUAAACUGCCUUUGUACAGAACGAAAAGGUUUCUACUAAUACUAGGAGCUCAUGACGGUACUGUAAGAAUAAGCACCGGCUAACUACGUGCCAGCCGCCGCAGUAA
rnacentral:rRNA from 1 species